rnacentral:rRNA from 1 species
CCUACGGGAUGCAGCAGUGAGGAAUAUUGGUCAAUGGGCGCGAGCCUGAACCAGCCAAGUAGCGUGAGGGAUGAAGGUUCUAUGGAUCGUAAACCUCUUUUAUAAGGGAAUAAAGUGUGGGACGUGUCCUGUUUUGUAUGUACCUUAUGAAUAAGGAUCGGCUAACUCCGUGCCAGCAGCCGCGGUAAUACGGAGGAUCCGAGCGUUCUCCGGAUUUAUUGGGUUUAAAGGGUGCGUAGGCGGCCUUUUAAGUCAGCGGUGAAAGUCUGUGGCUCAACCAUAGAAUUGCCGUUGAAACUGGGAGGCUUGAGUAUGUUUGAGGCAGGCGGAAUGCGUGGUGUAGCGGUGAAAUGCUUAGAUAGCACGCAGAACCCCGAUUGCGAAGGCAGCCUGCCAAGCCAUGACUGACGCUGAUGCACGAAAGCGUGGGGAUCAAACAGGAUUAGAUACCCGAGUAGUC